GAUGAACGCUAGCGGCAGGCUUAACACAUGCAAGUCGAGGGGUAGAGGAAGCUUGCUUCCUUGAGACCGGCGCACGGGUGCGUAACGCGUAUACAAUCUACCUUUUACAGAGGGGAUAGCCCCAGAGAAAUUUGGAUUAAUACCUCAUAGUAUUUUCGGAUCGCAUGAUUUGAUUAUUAAAGUUCCAACGGUAAAGAUGAGUAUGCGUCCCAUUAGCUAGAUGGUAAGGUAACGGCUUACCAUGGCAAUGAUGGGUAGGGGUCCUGAGAGGGAGAUCCCCCACACUGGUACUGAGACACGGACCAGACUCCUACGGGAGCAGCAGUGAGGAAUAUUGGACAAAUGGGCGCAAGCCUGAUCCAGCCAUGCCGCGUGCAGGAUGACGGUCCUAUGGAUUGUAAACUGCUUUU
rnacentral:rRNA from 1 species